CUAUAUGAAGAUCAUAUUUUUCACUCUUUUAAAAAAUAAGCUGUGAUGGUGAAGGGAGAGAUCUAGAAUGCUGCUUCAUCAUUUUCUAUGCAAAACAUCAUGACAACCUACUCAGACAUUAGCACACCGGUUCCUUCCUCGUGAGGGGUUUGCAGCCCUUGAUUUUGAGAUCAAUCAUUUUGAACAUCUCUGAGCAGAGCUAGAAUUUCUGUCUUUGGGGAGAGGCAAGGCAGUGGCUCUGUGCCAGUACCGGGCUGAGUCCUGAGAAGUCAGGGUUUGAAGCCCAGGACUUCUCUCCAAAGCAGAAAGGGUUGGCAAGGCGGGGCUUUGCUUUUCCCCAUCCAGGGCCGGUUUCAUGAGCGGGUUCUUCUCUGCACUUGGGUGGGCACAAUUGUGGACCAAGAUUCCUCCCAGGAACUCCGCCAGCCUUGCAUGUUCUAUGUACUGCAAUUGGAGAAUUUUUUUCUGUCUUAGAAAGGUGCACGGAGAUUUCAGCGUGACUUACCUCAGCACAGAGCACUCUCAAUUUGCUAAUCUUUUUUACCAUGCAAAAGAAAAGAAAAGAGCAUCAGUUUCAAGGCAGGAAGCUGUGAGGAGACUUGGCUAAGGCUGCGGUAGGGAGGUGUGCUGGGGGACAGUGCCAUUCACGAUUCAUUUCCAAAGCCACCGUUUUCUCAUCACACUUACGGAGUCCUGUAAGGGGAACUGCUUGAUGUAUAAGAAAUGAUGCCGGGUUUCUCCACCUUAGCACCACUGACAUUUGGAGCUGGUGGUUCUUUGAUGCAGUGGGGCAUUGCAGCGGAUUUGGCAGCACCCUGGCCUCUCCAGGCUGGCAGCACUGGCCCAGUGUGACACCCGAGCGUCAGGAUCAGCCCUGGUGACAGUCACAGGCCUGGGUCAGCCAAACCUCCAGGUAUCCAUCGCCAGGUUCUUAGAGGAAGUGCAGGCUUUUGUUCCCACGCACGUCUGCGACUCAUCACUUAGUCAGAUCUUGGGCUUGCAGGUUUUUGGUUUUCCGAGGGUCGGGGGAGGUUUUUUGUUUUGUUUGUGUUUUGCAGUACUGGGGAUGGAACCCUGGUCUUCGUGACGAGCUGCAUCCUCAGUCCUAUUUUAAAUUCUUACAUUUUGAGACAAGGUCUCCCUAACUUUAGGUUGCACAGACUGGGCUGAAACGUGCUGUGUCCCGCCUCAGCCUCCCAGAGUGCUGGGCUGACAGGUGUGCAGACCACACCUGCCGAGGCUUCCUGUUUCUUGAUGUCAAGAAGCCAGGGAGUUGGGUGGAGGGCUCUUUCAGGCUGUCAUUCUGGCUCUGCACAUCAGGAGCUGGGAAACAGUACUUGUCUCUCCCACGCGCCUCAGAGGAAAGCCAGACGGGGCGAGGGCAGAGGGAGGGCACGCGGGGUACGGCCGGAAAGGGAGGGCGUGGGUGUGGCCAGCCGGAGGGGAACCGGAAGUGGUUGAGAAGGAGGCCGCAGAGCUGCUUCAGACCGGAGGCCGCGGCUGGGAGCUUGUCUUCCCUGGACUCAGCCCGUACCCGGCGUCUGGUAACCACUAGCCCAGGUGGUACUGGCUGUCGCAGUCUCAGCAGGCAGAGCAGCCGAGCAGAAGGGCGUGGUCGGUUGGUCGGAGAGGCCCAGCAGCUGCCGGCCUGGGCUCCAUCCCGGCUCCGAACCCCACUGUGCGACCUCCAAGUUACUUUUUCCAACAAACCAGGCUGGACCCACAACCAUGCUUUCACAGACUUUAAUGGAAGAUGUUUCCUACCCACCUUGGUCUGCUUGCCUGCCUCCGUGUAAAGUUCAGGAGCAACAGCCUUUAUUUACUCUGUGUGUCCCAGGAGUUCUGAUGAACUGGGGUUUCCUGCGCCUGCUCUUUGGAAUGAAUGGCACCAGGAUGCUCCAGCAGGGAAAGAGGCUCUUCAGUACGUGGUGCUGGGAAAAGUGGACAUGGACAUCCAGAGGAAUGAGAGUGGACCCGUACUUCACACCGUAUACAAACACCAACUCAAAAUGAAUUCAAGACUUAAACAUAGGACUGAAACUAUAAAACUGCUUUAAAAAUGUGUAGAC